AUUGAACGCUGGCGGCAGGCCUAACACAUGCAAGUCGAACGAGUGGCGGACGGGUGAGUACUGUCUGGGAAACUGCCCGAUGGAGGGGGAUAACUACUGGAAACGGUAGCUAAUACCGCAUACCAUCGGAUGUGCCCAGAUGGGAUGAGCUAGUAGGUGGGGUAACGGCUCACCUAGGCGACGAUCCCUAGCUGGUCUGAGAGGAUGACCAGCUAGACGGGAACUGAGACACGGUCGAGACUCCGACGGGAGGCAGCAGUGGGGAAUAUUGCACAAUGGGCGCAAGCCGGAUGCAGCCAUGCCGCGUGUAUGAAGAAGGCCUUCGGGUUGUAAAGUACUGUCAGCGAGGAGGCGUUACUCGAAGAAGAAGCACCGGCUAACUCCGUGCCAGCAGCCGCGGUAAUUC
rnacentral:rRNA from 1 species